GUCCUGGCCCUGGUCCGGGUCC
rnacentral:miRNA from 1 species